AACAAUGUUUUGUAUAUAUUGUUGGAUGAAAAUAAAAGGUUCAACAGAAUCACACAUCAUAUAUGCAUAAUUUGGUACAGAGUUGAUUGCAUGGAACAAAGUUAUCCCGAUUUCAGAAUAUUGUUGGCCAGAAUCAGCAUCGUAAUGAUAACCAUUUUAAACUGUAAAGUAUAGCUCAAAUCCAAAUGAAUCAUUGUCCCCAAAUUUAAAUCCCCCUGCAACCACAUGCUUACCAACAGAACAGCCUCAGAGUUGGAGUCAGCUCAGAUUUCAACAGCUACUGGAAACAAAAUCCUCGUCCCACAAAAAAGGAAAGGUUAAAUAAUGUCUAGAGAAUACACUGAACUUCAGUGAUACCGUCAUAAAGAAAUCACUUCUCUUUUUAAAAAGGGCAAUUGAUUUUAAAUAAAUCCAUGCUUAAAGAUAUACGCAAAAUAGCAAAACUCGGCAUUAAGAACGCAAAAUUAGUACUAACCUGAAGAAUGCAAAAUUAGUACUAACCUGAAGCGUGCAAAAAAAAAAUCAAUCCUGAGCAGUUACAAAUUCUUACGAAUGCAACUUGGAAAACUGUUAAAUAAUCCAAAAACCACACAUUUUAAUCCUCAAGGAAUAUCUAUUCAAACAUAAAAAUCAUUCUGAAGAACGAAUUGGCCGAGUGGAAUGAAGAGGUUAAAUAAGCUUAAGUUCCUGUGCAUGUUUUUUACAAUUUUGCCUUUAUUUUGGGCAGGAGCAGGAAAAUGCUGAUGCAGAUAAUACUAGUAUUCUCCUACUUUUAUAUAUGAAGAUAAAAACGAGAGCAAUUAGGGAUGUCACUACUCUAUCCGGGUUCCAUAAUGCCAAAUGAAAAAUCUACAAACCAAAUUCAAGAAAGUAACAUACCAAUCCAAAC
rnacentral:lncRNA from 1 species